UAUCAUGUGCCAAUAAUUAUACCUUUAUUAUCUAUCUGUUCUCCUUCUUUUGCGGCUCUGCUAAGCCCAUCUGGAGUUUGUUCACAGACUUUCAUUCUAGUUAAUAAAUUGCUCUAUUAUUAUUUUUUAUAAGUUUCUUCUCUACAGGACACUGAGCUUCUAUCAUGGCCGCAGCUAAGGAGAUGAAGCCACGUGCUGUUCCACAGGGUAUCUGCUCAUCUGGUCAGGGUGGAGACACUGAUGAGAUGGUGUGGGUUGGGUUCCUAGACUCUCUUCCUGUCAUCGGCUCUGUUAAAGAGGCUGUGGAGUGGGUCCUGGCUCUGGGUGAAGGAGAUCCCAUGCUUGCUGCUGAGAAGCAGGAGAAGAUGAUGGUUGCACUGGGGCUGCAAAAGGAGACCAGUGGAAGAAGCUCUGGAAGAUCAUCUGGGUUCAGCUCAGCCGAUGAAGGGGAUGCAGGCGCGGCCAUGGCGGGAACUGACGCUGCAGUUCAUGGUACAGGAAAGAGGGAGCGUGGUAGGGAAGGUGUUCCACUCAUCAGCCUGACUUCUUACAUCGAGAACAUGGCGUCUAAAGGGAAGAAAGGAUCUGUGUCUCAAGAAGCCGGUCAACAGCAGAAGAAAAUGAUUGAAAUUAAAAACAUGAUACAGGAGGCGUUUCGCCGUAUAGAUCCAGACUACCAAAUUGGGAAGCAAGUUCUUAAAGACACUGGUGUACGUUCUGAAAGAGGAGAGCAUGUGAUCAACAACGAUGUUCUUAAAUUUCACAUCAAAAUCGAGCAGAAGUUCCUGACAGAGAGAAGAGUCCAGCGUGAUGUGGAGUGUCCCCUGGAUGAAAUUAUUCAGAAUGAUAUCAUGUAUGAGAUGGUGGCAGAGUUUGAACCAUACGAGCUGUACAUCAAUGUGAACGCUGUGAUUUAUGGAUUUUAUUGUGGUGUGUUAAGAAUCACUCUGUUGAUGCUGCUGGAACCAACCAGUCAGAUGAAUUCCAACCCCCUCCCAGCAGUUCAGAACUGGAGGAUACAAAUGCUUAGAAGGACUGAAGAGGUGAACUGGAGAGAUGAGGCCGACCGUAUCAUUACUAACAUGAACGCCUGCCAGGCUUAUGUGGAUCCUUUUGCGAAGGUGAAGUGGACUGGAAAUUCAAGUGCCAAACUUAGAAAGUUUGAAGCUGCUAGAGAAAGUGUAGCGGUCAUGUACCAAGACAUACGCGGACCUGGUUACUUUGGGAAAUUGUCAGUUUCUGUUUAGAUGGGUGAGGUCUUCUGAUUAAGCUCGACUAAAUCAUUACUCCUUCAGUAUGCAUGUGGAGUAAUAAAGAGGUAAUAACUACUUUAUUACUGUAAACU
rnacentral:lncRNA from 1 species